rnacentral:misc_RNA from 1 species
GGUGGCUUCGGCGACCGGCGACGGCUCCGUCGGUGGCGGCGUCUCUUCGAGCCAGGCUUUGAAGUACUGGCCGGACGAACAGGGAUCGAUUUGACCUUGAAAGCGGCUGAUGUUGUGCUUGUUGUGAUUUAAGAGCACAUAGCGAAGACCGAUGCGGACCUCGCGCGGGCUUUUCAGCGCUCGGGCAUGAUACCG